CCUACGGGAGGCAGCAGUGGGGAAUUUUCCGCAAUGGGCGAAAGCCUGACGGAGCAACGCCGCGUGAGGGAUGAAGGCCUCUGGGCUGUAAACCUCUUUUAUCAAGGAAGAAGAUCUGACGGUACUUGAUGAAUAAGCCACGGCUAAUUCCGUGCCAGCAGCCGCGGUAAUACGGGAGUGGCAAGCGUUAUCCGGAAUUAUUGGGCGUAAAGCGUCCGCAGGCGGUCUUGUAAGUCUGUCGUUAAAGCGUGGAGCUUAACUCCAUUUGAGCGAUGGAAACUGCAAGACUAGAGUGUGGUAGGGGCAGAGGGAAUUCCCGGUGUAGCGGUGAAAUGCGUAGAUAUCGGGAAGAACACCAGUGGCGAAGGCGCUCUGCUGGGCCAUAACUGACGCUCAUGGACGAAAGCCAGGGGAGCGAAAGGGAUUAGAUACCCCUGUAGUCCUGGCCGUAAACGAUGAACACUAGGUGUCGGGGGAAUCGACCCCCUCGGUGUCGUAGCCAACGCGUUAAGUGUUCCGCCUGGGGAGUACGCACGCAAGUGUGAAACUCAAAGGAAUUGACGG
rnacentral:rRNA from 2 species